rnacentral:rRNA from 1 species
AUGGACGCGGUGGGCCAAGCCUCGCUCGCGGCGCCAUCCCCUCGGCCGGAGACGGCCGGAGCCGGCAAGGACAGACGCCGGCCGAGCCAGCUCCGCCUCUCCUCUGUCCUCGGUCGGGCGCGAGGAAGAAGCCAGGCGAGAAGAGAGAGAGAGAGAAAGAGAUGGAUAAGGCGGGCCCCACUCGUCAGCCGAUCAGCGCCACGGCCUCCCACUGCCACACUGGAUAAGUGGAGAUGUACUCCAGGGAGUAGGCCUACGCUAACUGAAAGCGCAUUUUGUUUCUUAUUCGAGCCAAAAUACGCUUUCCGUUCUGGAAAACGUAUUUCCUGA